GCCCAUGAUGAACGCUAGCUACAGGCUUAACACAUGCAAGUCGAGGGGCAUGGGAAGAAAGCUUGCUUUCUUUGCUGGCGACCGGCGCACGGGUGAGUAACACGUAUCCAACCUGCCCUUUACUCGGGGAUAGCCUUUCGAAAGAAAGAUUAAUACCCGAUGGCAUAAUGAUUCCGCAUGGUUUCAUUAUUAAAGGAUUCCGGUAAAGGAUGGGGAUGCGUUCCAUUAGGUUGUUGGUGAGGUAACGGCUCACCAAGCCUUCGAUGGAUAGGGGUUCUGAGAGGAAGGUCCCCCACAUUGGAACUGAGACACGGUCCAAACUCCUACGGGAGGCAGCAGUGAGGAAUAUUGGUCAAUGGGCGCUAGCCUGAACCAGCCAAGUAGCGUGAAGGAUGAAGGCUCUAUGGGUCGUAAACUUCUUUUAUAUAAGAAUAAAGUGCAGUAUGUAUACUGUUUUGUAUGUAUUAUAUGAAUAAGGAUCGGCUAACUCCGUGCCAGCAGCCGCGGUAAUACGGAGGAUCCGAGCGUUAUCCGGAUUUAUUGGGUUUAAAGGGAGCGUAGGUGGACUGGUAAGUCAGUUGUGAAAGUUUGCGGCUCAACCGUAAAAUUGCAGUUGAUACUGUCAGUCUUGAGUACAGUAGAGGUGGGCGGAAUUCGUGGUGUAGCGGUGAAAUGCUUAGAUAUCACGAAGAACUCCGAUUGCGAAGGCAGCUCACUGGACUGCAACUGACACUGAUGCUCGAAAGUGUGGGUAUCAAACAGGAUUAGAUACCCUGGUAGUCCACACAGUAAACGAUGAAUACUCGCUGUUUGCGAUAUACAGUAAGCGGCCAAGCGAAAGCAUUAAGUAUUCCACCUGGGGAGUACGCCGGCAACGGUGAAACUCAAAGGAAUUGACGGGGGCCCGCACAAGCGGAGGAACAUGUGGUUUAAUUCGAUGAUACGCGAGGAACCUUACCCGGGCUUAAAUUGCAGUGGAAUGAUGUGGAAACAUGUCAGUGAGCAAUCACCGCUGUGAAGGUGCUGCAUGGUUGUCGUCAGCUCGUGCCGUGAGGUGUCGGCUUAAGUGCCAUAACGAGCGCAACCCUUAUCUUUAGUUACUAACAGGUUAUGCUGAGGACUCUAGAGAGACUGCCGUCGUAAGAUGUGAGGAAGGUGGGGAUGACGUCAAAUCAGCACGGCCCUUACGUCCGGGGCUACACACGUGUUACAAUGGGGGGUACAGAAGGCAGCUAGCGGGUGACCGUAUGCUAAUCCCAAAAUCCUCUCUCAGUUCGGAUCGAAGUCUGCAACCCGACUUCGUGAAGCUGGAUUCGCUAGUAAUCGCGCAUCAGCCACGGCGCGGUGAAUACGUUCCCGGGCCUUGUACACACCGCCCGUCAAGCCAUGGGAGCCGGGGGUACCUGAAGUACGUAACCGCAAGGAUCGUCCUAGGGUAAAACUGGUGACUGGGGCUAAGUCGUAACAAGGU
rnacentral:rRNA from 1 species